AUCUAGCUGACGAGUCUCAAAUAGGAUGAAACGCACGUCCUGGAU
rnacentral:hammerhead_ribozyme from 1 species